GGGCAAUGAUGAGUAUUGUGAUAGGUCUCGUUCGUCGUAAUGGCAUAUUGUUUGCCUUGCCGACCAUACUGAUAUAUCACCACCCAUAAACUGAGUCC